rnacentral:rRNA from 1 species
UGCGCAGGCGGGCUUGUAAGUCAGUGGUGAAAUACUGCCGCUCAACGGUAGAACUGCCAUUGAUACUGCAAGUCUUGAAUAUGGUUGAGGUAGGCGGAAUGUGUCGUGUAGCGGUGAAAUGCAUAGAUAUGACACAGAACGCCAAUUGCGAAGGCAGCUUACUAAGCCAUUAUUGACGCUGGGGCACGAAAGCGUGGGGAGCGAACAGGAUUAGAUACCCUGGUAGUCC